ACUCCAUAACAAAAGACUAUCUGAUCAGUACAAAUCACCUCUCUGUGUGUGUGUGUGUGUGUGUGUGUGGGUGUGUGUGUGAGAGAGAGCAACUCAUUUGGUGUUGUGGGGGGAAGGAACAAAACCUACAAGGACACACACACACAUGCACACUUGUGAAUACACUUGCACACGCACACACAUACUUACACAAACA